CAAAGUGUAGCCAAACUAGAUAAAGCAUCUCUCUUACACUGAGAAGUUAUCCGUGCAAAUCGGAUCAUUUUGA